GGGAGGUGGAGGGAGGAGGUAGGGAAACAGCUGUGGAAAGUGAUGUCAUUUGACAAGGCUGGGAAGGAGCAGCUUGGUGAGAGAACUGGCCUCUCACCCCGGUGCAGAGCUCUCCCAUGCGCUCGCCUGCAUGAAAAGCCGGGAGGAGUGAUCGUGCUGUUGCUCAGGGGCGGGCUUCAGCUCCGAGUGGGAAGCGACUUGCCUGGUUCCCACAGAGAAGAGGACCUGGUCAUGUGCCUUGAAGUGUGGCCAGAGGGAUCGCAGGAGAAAGCAGAGCCACAGUCAUUGGAGGGGUUCAAGCAGGCAAGUGACAAGGUCAGAUGUGCAUCUUAGAAAGAUGCCCGUGGCUGCUGGAUGGCUCCCGGGGACCGGUGUGCAGCAGAGAGGCCACUGAGGUGUCGCUUGCAUCAUCCAGACAAAAACGAUGGUGCAGGAUCGUCAGGGCAGGUGGAAAGGAACGAAGAGAUCCCACAGACAUUGAGGAGAUGCAGUCUGUAAAGCGAAGUGAGCAAAUGUGAGAGGUACUAGGUAUACAUCUGGGUCAUUUUAACUGCUUUUGAUAUUCCUUUGGGUGAAUAAAUCACAUUAAAAAAUAAUUUAUAUUGCGGUAACAUUGGUUUAUAACAUUAUAUAAGUUUCAGGUGUACAUCAUAUUUUGAUUUCUGUAUAGAUUACAUCAUGUUCACCACCCAAAGAGUAAUUACCAUCCAUCACCACACACAUGUGCCUAAUCACCCCCUUUCACCCCCUCCCUCCCCUCUUCCCCUCUGCUAACCACCAGUCCAAUCUCCUGUCGCUAUGUGAUUUCUGUCGGUUGUUUUUAUCUUCUACUUACGAGUGAACCACAUUUUUAGAUCUCCAUUCACCUAAUGAUUGUUAUCUCCACUUUCUCACUAUUACAGACAGGACUGCAAUGAACAUCUUUGUACUCAUCUCCCUGUGCACCUGAGACUCUGUUUAGAGUAGAACUGUUUUGCUGAAUUGUGAGAGGGGUUCCCUUUUUCCAGCUGCUUAUCAGACUUGCAAGAUUUUGCCCAUCUGAUCAGCGUGAGAACAAGUCUCCGCUGUUGCCAUGUGUUUCCCUGAUCACCAGCGACGAAACCCAGCUUUGUUGGGACAGAAAUGUGCCUGGCCCCAGAGGAGGAUUCAUGAGUGAUCUAAACUCAUCAUGGAACUCUGCUUCCCUCUGCCAGGGAUGGGUCUGGAGGCGCGUGCCUUGGUUCUGGCCAAUUGUGCAUAAGGGAAAGACUCCAGGGCCUGGUGGGAAAAACCCUUCUCCAAUGACGGAGUGGAGCAGAGACGAAGUGUUUUGCUUCCUUUCCUCUCUUCCAGUAUAGAAACUGUUUGUGGUGGUUUUUAAAAUAUGUCCAUCAGGUCUUUGGCCUUCCUCCUUUCCAAAGGUGAAGCCUAAUUCUCCUCCCCUUGAUGGUGGGCCAGACUUAGUGAUUCGAUUCUAAUGAAGAGAAUGGGACGCGAGCAAAGGUGGGUGUCUUUCGAAGAUAGGCCAAAGAAGACACUGAAGCUUCAGCUUUGCUCUCAUGGAUUGCUCACUCCAGGAGAAGCCAGCCGCCAUGUCAUGAGGACACUCAAGCAGCCUGUGGAAAGACCUAUGUGGGGAGGCACUGAGGCCUCCUCCCAGCUACCAGCACCAACUUGCCAGCCAUGUGAGUGAGCCACCCAGGAGCUCAUUCAUUCUCAGUCCCAGCCAAGCCUUCAGACGGCUGUGCUCUGGCCAGCAUCUUGACUGCCACCCCGUGAAGGACCACAAGCCAGAACUCCCCAGCCAAGCUGCUCCAGAAUUCCUCCUCUCCAGACACUGUGUGAGAUCAUAAUUGUCUAUCAUUGUUUUAAGGCACCAAAUUUGGGGGUCAUUUGUUACACAGCCAUAGAUGAUGAACAUACAGUCAUACAGCUGUCUUGGAAGCAUGAGAUGACCCGGGGUUGCCUAUUUUGAGGCUUCUUGUUACAUGAGAUAAUAAAAGCC
ensembl:lncRNA